AACGACUCUCGGCAACAAAUAUCUCAACUCUCGCAUCGAUGAAGAAUGUAGCAAAAUGCAACACUUGGCGUGAAUUACAGAAUCCUAUGAACCAUCAAGUCUUUGAACACAAGUUGUGCUCGAAGCUGUCAAACACCGAGGGUACGUUUAGUUGGGUGUCACGCAACG
rnacentral:rRNA from 1 species